rnacentral:rRNA from 1 species
GGUGUUGCAUGGCUGUCGUCAGCUCGUGUCGUGAGAUGUUGGGUUAAGUCCCGCAACGAGCGCAACCCUCAUCCUUAGUUACCAUCAGGUAAUGCUGGGGACUUUAAGGAAACUGCCAGUGAUAAACUGGAGGAAGGUGGGGAUGAUGUCAAGUCAUCAUGGCCCUUAUGGAGUGGGCUACACACGUGCUACAAUGGUGGCUACAGUGGGCUGCAAAGUCGCGAGGCUAAGCUAAUCCCUUAAAAGCCAUCUCAGUUCGGAUUGUACUCUGCAACUCGAGUGCAUGAAGUUGGAAUCGCUAGUAAUCGUGGAUCAGCACGCCACGGUGAAUACGUUCCCGGGUCUUGUACACAC